CGUUGGGCGAGUCCCUGAGCCCCCCGCGCCGCGUGCGCGGAACCGCCCGGCUCCUGCCCUGGCGGGCGGCGCGGAGCAGAGCGCGAGGCGCUCGCAGCCCCGGGGCCGUGACCGAGCUGCGGCAGGCAGGCUGCCAAUAGUUCAAAUGAGAGGCUUGUGAUUUCUAGCUGAAAACACUCCAUGUUUGGGAAAAAACCCAUCAUGUUUAUUGGAUUUUGCAGCGAUUCAGGGCUAUAUGGCUGAAGUGACUAAUGCACUGAUGGCGAGACUUCAAAAAGAAUAACAGAUCAAAGGCUUGUGUCAGUCUCAGCGAUCUGAUUUGUUACUAUUAUAAAGGGCUUCCUAAUUGAA